CGCACACUACAUCUUGGUAUUGUAAACUGCUUUCACCAUGGCCGGAGAAAAAUCUGGCUGUUUUACCUGGUGUGUUAGGUUAAAAGAAGCGUGCAAUGAAAGGUGGGCGCGGUUUAUCAACCGACUCCGUCGCCGAUUCUACGCAAGAAGAGGCCAAAGAGUCGACCCAGCUAGUGUCUUAAAUGAGACUGGAACAAAAGAUAUGGUACUGUCUAAAACACCACGCAAAUCCAACAUAGUGAUUCCCGACAUACUUGCUGGAAAUAGUGUCACAGUGGAACCACUUAGUGUCGGAUGUGCGACUGAGAAAGACUUGACAAACAAGUUGAGGAAUAUGUAGCAAGGAUCAUACAGACAGCAGCCGACACAUUGAUGUCUGAGGCUCAGUUGCUUAGCAACACAAUAAUAAUCACAGUGAACGCAGACGACAACGUGUCCUUGACUUCAAGCGUUAUCAGCCAAAUAGCAGACAUUGCUGUAACUGACAGUUUGAGUAAUAUUGCCAUGGAAAGCGACAUCAACCAGUCGGCAAUCAACUUGAACAAGUUGAGGAGAAUUGAAGAACUCAUGGAUAAUUAUGGAACCGUUGCAGACGAUAAGGAUGAUGCCUCCGGUGUACCAUCUGGCAAGGCUUAAACCAAAUGACAAGACAGACAAGCCUAUUUUUUCUACGUUUUACUUUUGUCUUUCGUUAAUUGUGCAUAUUUUUGUUUCCAAUGUUGUGCUAUGAUGAGGUUCUGAAUUUUGAAUAAAAUUCAUCGAAACUUCAA
rnacentral:lncRNA from 1 species